ACUUAAACUUCAAGAACUUUCUUACACAGUGAAGCAUUUGGUUUGUUCUAUAAGUUGUACAAUGAAAGUCAGAUUGACAGUGGGAUCUUUAACUCACUACAAAGAAAAUUACUCUCAUCCUAGAAUUCUACAUAGGUUUGGGUAUUUUAGCCAUGAAGAUGAAAGGCAGGGAAGAGAAGGAAAGAAGUGGGAGAUAGACACAACGCUUUGUGUAAAUGCCUCUUAGUCUGGCUUUUGCUGGCCUUUUAUCAUGGUUGGAUUCUAUCUUUCCUGUUUUAUGCUUAUUUGUGUUUUAUUUCAUACCAUGUAAACAAUUCUGCUUCCAAUGGCAGCACAUCAUGAGGUGUGGUUUUUGCACUUGCUCCAUGGUUGGCCAUGUUACUAAUGGAGCUAUCUGUAAGCUUUCCAACCAUUUAAACAAGUCACCAGUGUUAUUCUUGUCUCAGGGGAGAAGUUUGAGGCAGGGUCUUGUCACAUGGUCUUGGACAGCCUGUUUUCACUCUUUUAGUGAGUACUCAUUAGGGCUAUGAUUUUGUUCCAUGCCGUUGAUGGUCAAGAUUCUCCAAGGGCUCUCAGUUGAAAGCCCAUGGCGACUGCAUUAGAAAAUGCCU
rnacentral:lncRNA from 1 species